CUCUCUCUCCCUCCUCUCUCUUCGAUCGGGAUCUCGUUACCUCCCCUCCACUCCCCACUCUAAUCCAUGGCCACCACCUCGACUCCGCCGCUUCUCCUUAACCUAAAGAGGACGCGCCCCGUUCGCCUCCUCUCCUCCUCCUCCGCCUCCGCCGCCGCCCCCUCGAGCUCCGGCGGUGGCGCUCGAUCGCCGCGGCGCCGCCUCUUCCUUGGCCUCGGCGUAUCCUUUCUCGAGCAGGUCGUGCGCAUGGCCUCAGGAAGCGGCGGUGGGGUGCGGUCGUUCGUCGCCUCCGCGCGGCCGCGCCAAGGGGUGUCUCCGGUCGAACAGGUACUGAAGAAUGUGAAGUGGCCGGAGAAGUUUCCGUUCAAGGAGGAGGAUUUUAGCCGCUUCGAUGAAUCACCAGAUUCCUUAUUCUACUCAGAACCUCGUUUUGUCACACAUAUCGAUGAUCCCGCAAUUAGAGCUCUUACCAAUUUCUAUUCACAAGUUCUUCCUCCGAGCAAUUCUCCAGGAGUGUGUCUGCUUGAUGUGUGCAGCAGUUGGGUGAGCCAUUAUCCGGCAGGAUACAAGCAGGAGAGGAUUGUAGGGAUGGGCAUGAACGAAGACGAACUCAAACGAAACCUGGUUUUGACGGAGUAUAUCGUGCAAGACUUGAAUGUGAAUCCAAAACUUCCAUUCGAUGAUAAUACUUUUGAUGUCAUAACUAAUGUGGUUAGUGUAGAUUACUUAACCAAGCCAAUUGAGGUUUUCAAGGAGAUGCAGCGAGUACUCAAACCAUCAGGCCUUGCCAUUAUGAGUUUUUCAAACCGUUGUUUUUGGACAAAGGCGAUAUCCAUCUGGACAUCAACUGGCGAUGCUGAUCAUGCUUGGAUUGUUGGAUCCUACUUCCAUUAUGCUGGAGGUUUUGAACCACCUGUGGCUGUUGACAUAUCUCCCAAUCCUGGACGUUCGGACCCAAUGUAUGUCGUGUAUUCUCGGAAGCAAACCACUGUAUAACCACUCCGUAGGGUGUAGAAAGAGAACAUUCUGAAGCAAGAAAUAUUCUUGGGCUUGAUCUUGCGAAGCAUACCUUUCAAAUGUGAAGCACACCUUUCAACAAUGAUUUUUCUCCAGAGGAAACUGUAAUUACAAUUUCGAAGGCCGCUUCAAUCCACAAGAGAAGUCUGGAUCCUCCACCAAGUCAAUUGUGAGCUCAGGAUUGGGCGAAUGCAACUCAAGUAUGACCUGUGAAACAUAAAAUAUAAUUAGCACAAUUCAAAGCCAAACGAAUGACAAAGCAUUUAUUAACAAUCUUUUAUUCAUAGCCA